rnacentral:rRNA from 1 species
UGCAGUCGAACGGGAUUUGAGUAGCAAUACUUAAUGAGAGUGGCGCACGGGUGCGUAACGCGUAUGCAACCUACCUUUAACAGGGGGAUAGCUCCGAGAAAUCGGGAUUAAUACCCCAUAGUAUUAUUGAUUGGCAUCGAUUAAUAAUUAAAGCUCCGGCGGUUAAAGAUGGGCAUGCGUGCCAUUAGCUAGUUGGUGAGGUAAAGGCUCACCAAGGCGAUGAUGGCUAGGGGUUCUGAGAGGAUUAUCCCCCACACUGGUACUGAGACACGGACCAGACUCCUACGGGAGGCAGCAGUAAGGAAUAUUGGGCAAUGGACGCAAGUCUGACCCAGCCAUGCCGCGUGCAGGAAGACGGCCCUAUGGGUUGUAAACUGCUUUUAUCAGGGAAUAACCCCCCGGAUGUAUCCGGGGCUGAAUGUACCUGAAGAAUAAGCAUCGGCUAACUCCGUGCCAGCAGC